ACGAACCAAAGACUUUGAUAUCCCUUUCAGGGCUCACCGACAACAAUUUGUAUUUGAGUAAAAAAAUUUAUCAUCUUCGAUUGCCACAUAUUUAGUAUGAUUGAGUUGGAAUUGUACGACCAUGUCGUUUAGUGACUACAAAUAUCCAUUUUAGUUGUUGGGCCAUGUAAGAGUGUAUGUUCUAGAGUUAUAUCUUUUAUAUAUAUUGUUUGAAUUGAUGCAUGUUUUCUAUAUCAAAUCUUGUGUCCAAUAAAAUUAGUGCAGAAUUGCAAAUAACAACCAAACAAGCUGUUGUGGAGUUUGACUUUUGAUCUCCUAUUUGAAGUUGGUUCUUUGGUAGAAGAAAUAAAGAGCAGGCAGGAGGAUAACAACAUCAUGAUGAAGAACUUACUUAAGGUUCAUUAGUGAUCUUCCAAAUGUGUCAAUUUAGAGAGUGCUCGUCUUGCACUUUCAAGAAAACAUGAUAUUCUUUCUUUCCACCGUGUAUAAAGGAUGGGUUGAUGAGAAGACGCUUGCUUCGACGAAAACAGGCACUGGAAUGAUUGUUGCCAUCAAAGAAGUUGAGCUCUGAGAGCACUCAAGGAUUUGAAGAGUGGAAGGAAAUAAAUGUUGUGAAAUGGGAUGAUUUUGUAUUUCAAGAAUAGGCUUAACCAACAUACUGCUUCACCUUCAAAGAAUGCCUCAAAUUGGUCUGAAUCAUGCUCUACUGCUCUACAUCCCACCCUAAAUUGGGACAUAUCUUUCAAGUUUCUAUCUAACAAUUGCUUGUUUGUCAACGAUCUUUUUAGACUCAAAUAAGAUCAGCUUUUUGGAAUUAAAUGAUGUAAUUUUGUAUUUUAUGUUGGUUAACUCUAAGAUAAUGAAUGACAAGUUGUUUAUUUGUUAAUUAUAAUUUUA